UACGGAGGGGGCUAGCGUUGUUCGGAAUUACUGGGCGUAAAGCGCACGUAGGCGGCUUUGUAAGUCAGAGGUGAAAGCCCAGAGCUUAACCCUGGAAUUGCCUUUAAGACUGCAUCGCUAGAAUCGUGGAGAGGUGAGUGGAAUUCCGAGUGUAGAGGUGAAAUUCGUAGAUAUUCGGAAGAACACCAGUGGCGAAGGCGACUCACUGGACACGUAUUGACGCUGAGGUGCGAAAGCGUGGGGAGCAAACAGG
rnacentral:rRNA from 1 species